rnacentral:rRNA from 1 species
UAGGGAAUCUUCCACAAUGGACGCAAGUCUGAUGGAGCAACGCCGCGUGAGUGAAGAAGAUCUUCGGAUCGUAAAACCCUGUUGUUAGAGAAGAACACGAGUGAGAGUAACUGUUCAUUCGAUGACGGUAUCUAACCAGCAAGUCACGGCUAACUACGUGC